GCGCCUGUAGCUCAGUGGAUUAGAGCACCAGCUUGCGGAGCUGGGGGCCGCAGGUUCGAAUCCCGCCAGGCGCG
rnacentral:tRNA from 1 species